rnacentral:snRNA from 1 species
ACGAGGUGCAGUGGAGCUGAGACCUUG